AAAGAGCCGAUCCCUCACCUUCCAUACCCCCCUCCCCCCGCCCCACUCAAAAACUUCCACCGCUUGAAAAAUUCUCUCUCUCCCAACGUUACAACCUCUCAACUUCCCUCCCACUACAAUAAAACUCUCUCUUAACCCACUCUAGUUGCACACACUCCUAAACACACAAAACCUUCCACAACAACAGAGGGGAAAAAUCUCUAACAAGGAGGGUUUCUCAUUCUCUGCGCAAUCUUUUCCGAAUCAUCAAAUCAAGAUGCGGGAUCACUGGGUCAGAAAAUUCUCUUUUGAUCCCUUCUUUUCCCAAUUCGAACCUCAUUUCCCCAAAUUCUAGACCUAAAUAGCUCGGUAGAAAGGGAUUUUGAAGGGUUUCUCAAGGAUACUCAUUGGGACUUUGCUCAUUCGGAGGCGAUUCAAAAGGGAAAGACUCAAGUUGGAUAGUUCAUGGCUCCUGUUCGGCACUGAGGCAGAGUUUGUCACCGUUUCCAGUUCGCGACCUCGCAAGUGAAUCCAAGGCCACUUCCAGGAGAUCUCGAGGGUGACCACUUGCCGGAUCUGCAGCCCCGGAUCCCCUCCCUGCUUAUCUGUCUAUCUUCUUUUACUCGGACAGACUUAUUACGUAUUUUGAGGCUUGGACUAGUAUUUCAAACAUUGUUUUUGUAUUAGAAGCUCUUGUACGAGUUCAAACCA